GAAGAGAUGCUGUAGGGAGGAAUGGGCCUUGGGAAGCAGAUACUGUGUUAAACAUUAGCUGGUUGUGACUCCAGGGUGGAAAGCUCUGUGAGAACAGUGCUGGCUGAUUUCCUUGUAGAACCAGCCACGUUUUAUUGCCACCAUUAGCUUGUUUGUCUAGCUGCUCCUCUAAAUAAUUAGCUUCCUGAGGGAAGAUAACCCUAUUUCACUUCACCCAGUGCUGAAGAUGGUGACUGGCACAAAAAACUUCGACUCAUUCUCUUAUUGGAGAAAGAAAAUGGAAAGAAGCUUGUCCAAAUCACUUCUGAUAGCUUUCAAGUACACCACUUCUCUGAAAACAUCUCUGCCAAGUCAACCAUUUAUAAAGUAACCAGGCUAGUCGUCAGACACAGAAACUGUCUGAGCAGACUGGAUAAGAAAAUUGCCUCAUCCACGAAACAAGAAGAUACCUCAUUCUUUUUGCCCUGAGAAAAAUCAAUAUGUAAUCAAAAUUUUUAUUUGUUUCUUAAAACUACCCAGAAGGUUGAAUUUAACUAUUUCUCAUCCUGCCAGCUGUGUCAAACACCUCAGCAGAAAUUGUAAGUACCUCUCAAAGUGUUUCUCCCACUCUGCUCUGUGACAAGUCUGAAGCUGGGAAGGGUCUUCUUUUGUUUAGCUUUUGGCACGACUCCUUUUAAGGACUUUCAAGACACUCUGUGUUACACUGAAAAUAAAACAUGGCGAGACCUUUUCAUUAGAAAGGAGAAAAGAGAGUGAUA
rnacentral:lncRNA from 1 species